GAGGGUGUAGCUCAGUGGUAGAGCGGUGGUCUCCAAAACCAUGCGCGGCAGUUCGAUUCUGCCCACCUUUGCCA
rnacentral:tRNA from 1 species